AGGGAACAACAGCCAGAGCAGAUUAACAGAAACAAAGAAAGAUCUGGUUUUUACGUUGAUGGCUUCAAUUAAGAAGAACAAAAGAAGAGAAAUAGAAGGGAAAUGUGUAUUCCUGUAUUAUUGUGCAAUGGGAACAGCCAUUUCCAUCAGACUGUGGUUCUGUGGACACCAGUGAAAGGCUUUGCAGUCAACAAGGUCUAUUUUAUGUGAUGAAACAUGUCAAGAGAUUCAGAAUUAACCUGUCUAUAAGGAAAGUGCUAAAGAAGCCAAGACACAGGUCCAGGAAGCUUGUCCUUGUGCCUUCUUCUUGGACAGACCUGAGCUUUCCAAAAGCAACCCC